GGGACCCCAGGUCAGGCGGGACCACCCGCUGAGUU
rnacentral:rRNA from 12 species